UACGUAGGGCGCAAGCGUUGUCCGGAAUUUAUUGGGCGUAAAGAGCUCGUAGGCGGCUUGUCACGUCGAUUGUGAAAGCCCCGAGGCUUAACCUCGGGGUCUGCAGUCGAUACGGGCUAGCUAGAGUGUGGUAGGGGAGAACGAAUUCCUGGUGUAGCGGUGAAAUGCGCAGAUAUCGGGAGGAACACCAGUGGCGAAGGCGGCUCUCUGGGCAGAUACCGACGCUGAGACGCGAAAAGCGUGGGAAGCAAACAGG
rnacentral:rRNA from 1 species